rnacentral:rRNA from 1 species
CGGACGGGUGAGUAGUGUCUGGGAAACUGCCUGAUGGAGGGGGAUAACUACUGGAAACGGUAGCUAAUACCGCAUAACGUCGCAAGACCAAAGAGGGGGACCUUCGGGCCUCUUGCCAUCAGAUGUGCCCAGAUGGGAUUAGCUAGUAGGUGGGGUAACGGCUCACCUAGGCGACGAUCCCUAGCUGGUCUGAGAGGAUGACCAGCCACACUGGAACUGAGACACGGUCCAGACUCCUACGGGAGGCAGCAUG